rnacentral:rRNA from 1 species
AACGAACGCUGGCGGCAGGCUUAACACAUGCAAGUCGAGCGCCCCGCAAGGGGAGCGGCAGACGGGUGAGUAACGCGUGGGAACGUACCCUUCGGUUCGGAAUAACUCAGGGAAACUUGGGCUAAUACCGGAUACGUCCGUGAGGAGAAAGAUUUAUCGCCGAAGGAUCGGCCCGCGUUGGAUUAGCUAGUUGGUGGGGUAAUGGCCUACCAAGGCGACGAUCCAUAGCUGGUCUGAGAGGAUGAUCAGCCACACUGGGACUGAGACACGGCCCAGACUCCUACGGGAGGCAGCAGUGGGGAAUAUUGGACAAUGGGCGAAAGCCUGAUCCAGCCAUGCCGCGUGAGUGAUGAAGGCCCUAGGGUUGUAAAGCUCUUUCAGUGGGGAAGAUAAUGACGGUACCCACAGAAGAAGCACCGGCUAACUCCGUG